AAUUGAAGAGUUUGAUCAUGGCUCAGAUUGAACGCUGGCGGCAGGCCUAACACAUGCAAGUCGAGCGGUAGCACAGAGAGCUUGCUCUCGGGUGACGAGCGGCGGACGGGUGAGUAAUGUCUGGGAAACUGCCUGAUGGAGGGGGAUAACUACUGGAAACGGUAGCUAAUACCGCAUAAUGUCGCAAGACCAAAGUGGGGGACCUUCGGGCCUCAUGCCAUCAGAUGUGCCCAGAUGGGAUUAGCUAGUAGGUGGGGUAACGGCUCACCUAGGCGACGAUCCCUAGCUGGUCUGAGAGGAUGACCAGCCACACUGGAACUGAGACACGGUCCAGACUCCUACGGGAGGCAGCAGUGGGGAAUAUUGCACAAUGGGCGCAAGCCUGAUGCAGCCAUGCCGCGUGUGUGAAGAAGGCCUUCGGGUUGUAAAGCACUUUCAGCGGGGAGGAAGGCGGUGAGGUUAAUAACCUCAUCGAUUGACGUUACCCGCAGAAGAAGCACCGGCUAACUCCGUGCCAGCAGCCGCGGUAAUACGGAGGGUGCAAGCGUUAAUCGGAAUUACUGGGCGUAAAGCGCACGCAGGCGGUCUGUCAAGUCGGAUGUGAAAUCCCCGGGCUCAACCUGGGAACUGCAUUCGAAACUGGCAGGCUAGAGUCUUGUAGAGGGGGGUAGAAUUCCAGGUGUAGCGGUGAAAUGCGUAGAGAUCUGGAGGAAUACCGGUGGCGAAGGCGGCCCCCUGGACAAAGACUGACGCUCAGGUGCGAAAGCGUGGGGAGCAAACAGGAUUAGAUACCCUGGUAGUCCACGCCGUAAACGAUGUCGAUUUGGAGGUUGUGCCCUUGAGGCGUGGCUUCCGGAGCUAACGCGUUAAAUCGACCGCCUGGGGAGUACGGCCGCAAGGUUAAAACUCAAAUGAAUUGACGGGGGCCCGCACAAGCGGUGGAGCAUGUGGUUUAAUUCGAUGCAACGCGAAGAACCUUACCUGGUCUUGACAUCCACAGAACUUUCCAGAGAUGGAUUGGUGCCUUCGGGAACUGUGAGACAGGUGCUGCAUGGCUGUCGUCAGCUCGUGUUGUGAAAUGUUGGGUUAAGUCCCGCAACGAGCGCAACCCUUAUCCUUUGUUGCCAGCGGUCCGGCCGGGAACUCAAAGGAGACUGCCAGUGAUAAACUGGAGGAAGGUGGGGAUGACGUCAAGUCAUCAUGGCCCUUACGACCAGGGCUACACACGUGCUACAAUGGCAUAUACAAAGAGAAGCGACCUCGCGAGAGCAAGCGGACCUCAUAAAGUAUGUCGUAGUCCGGAUUGGAGUCUGCAACUCGACUCCAUGAAGUCGGAAUCGCUAGUAAUCGUAGAUCAGAAUGCUACGGUGAAUACGUUCCCGGGCCUUGUACACACCGCCCGUCACACCAUGGGAGUGGGUUGCAAAAGAAGUAGGUAGCUUAACCUUCGGGAGGGCGCUUACCACUUUGUGAUUCAUGACUGGGGUGAAGUCGUAACAAGGUAACCGUAGGGGAACCUGCGGUUGGAUCACCUCCUUA
rnacentral:rRNA from 10 species